rnacentral:lncRNA from 1 species
UUGCCUUUCUUUUCUUUCAAAUUAAGAAUGUAGGCAACAGCUUGUGUAAAAUGCAUUUUUACAAUGGAUACACAAUACACCAGUGGCAGUAAAUUGUGUCUUAUUUCAUUGCAUAAUAUAGGAAGACAGAGUUUUAAGGAAAAGAUUAGACCAAUUUAUUUUCUUAACAUCUGUUGAAAGCCAACAUUUGUCAAAUGUGGUUCCUCCAAGAUUUAGCUGUCUUGCUGAUAACUUUUGUUCUUCACAGGGUAGAACAUGGCACAGGAAGGCACAGGAAGAUCUUGACUUUAUUCCAACCAGAUAUUUGAAAGUAACUCCACCAAACACUACUGCAAGACCUGCCACUACCAUGGCAACAAAAUAUCUUGAAAAUGCUAAAGAAUAUAGAUAAAAAAGUGUUCCAUGGGAUAUGUCUGUGUCAUACUUACAAAAAUCUAGAAGGAGAUACUCUUCACCUUUACAUGAUGCCAUGAAGCUCAUUGAAGUCCAGUCAUUAUUUUAUUCUUAGAAGGUUAGAGAACAGGUAUGAAAAUAAUCAUGGGAAAUAAUUGGUGUUCUAUAGUUUGCUUAUCCAAAAUGCAAGUCUAU